GAUACCGGGGUAUAGCCCAUGGAAACGUGGAUUAACACCCCAUAGUACUUUUAUCCUGCAUGGGAUGUGAGUUAAAUGUUUCAGGUAUCGGAUGGGCAUGCGUCCUAUUAGUUAGUUGGCGGGGUAACAGCCCACCAAGACGAUGAUAGGUAGGGGUUCUGAGAGGAAGGUCCCCCACAUUGGAACUGAGACACGGUCCAAACUCCUACGGGAGGCAGCAGUGAGGAAUAUUGGUCAAUGGACGUAAGUCUGAACCAGCCAAGUCGCGUGAGGGAAGACUGCCCUAUGGGUUGUAAACCUCUUUUAUAAGGGAAGAAUAAGUUCUACGUGUAGAAUGAUGCCUGUACCUUAUGAAUAAGCAUCGGCUAACUCCGUGCCAGCAGCCGCGGUAAUACGGAGGAUGCGAGCGUUAUCCGGAUUUAUUGGGUUUAAAGGGUGCGUAGGCGGUUUAUUAAGUUAGUGGUUAAAUAUUUGAGCUAAACUCAAUUGUGCCAUUAAUACUGGUAAACUGGAGUACAGACGAGGUAGGCGGAAUAAGUUAAGUAGCGGUGAAAUGCAUAGAUAUAACUUAGAACUCCGAUAGCGAAGGCAGCUUACCAGACUGUAACUGACGCUGAUGCACGAGAGCGUGGGUAGCGAACAGGAUUAGAUACCCUGGUAGUCCACGCCGUAAACGAUGCUCACUGGUUCUGUGCGAUAUAUUGUACGGGAUUAAGCGAAAGUAUUAAGUGAGCCACCUGGGGAGUA
rnacentral:rRNA from 1 species